rnacentral:lncRNA from 1 species
UUUAACUGUGAUUUUUUCUUUGCAUGGUAAACUCAAGUAUGGGCCAACAUCCCUCCAUAAUUCGCCCUAGUUGAAGGGCCACAAUUUUGGGUUUUUGUCGCUUAUUUGGUCGCGUUGGGGUUUCUAUCCAGGUAGUAUUUUGAUCACAUUAGUAAUUGCUAUUGAUUGAAAUCCUUGAGGAGCAUUUAGGGUUUUGUCUAUCGCGUUAUGUUUCAUCACUCAGUAACGACAGUCGGAUCGAGGUAAAACGUAUCAGACUUUAAUCGGAAUAUCAUUAUUUAAGUGUUCUCCUUAUUACCGCGUCAUAGAUCAAAUGGUUUGUUGGCUCCUAUUUUGACUUUAGCAAUCAUUUGUAGCGUUAUUAACAAGCUUAUUUUCUACACAAAGGUGGUUAGUUGGUACUGUUUAUCCGAUCUGUAUAUCCCCCUCCCCCGGGAGAAAUAGGGGGAAAAGACCUCAGGGGAAGGAGGUAGGCGACGGCAAUUUGGUUAUUUUCUUACUUCUAAUGGGCUCGUAUUAUUCAGAAAAUUGCAUCUAUUUCUGAUACUCCUUUUAAACAGUAAAUAGAUCUGAUUGGGCUCCGCAAUUGCGCACGUUAACAAAUUGAACUAUUAAACUCUUUAGAAAUUUGUAGACAUCCAAGCGAACUAACUGUAAUUGCGAAGCUCACAUUUUCUGGCCUUUGAGGGUUGAGUUAGUGAAUAGGGGGUCAUCAUCAACAGACAAAUUGAGACCAUUUAGAUCCACUUUUGAUUUCGUAUUCAAAAAUAAACUUGUCAAACGAUAUGCGGAGGUUGGGUAUAAAAAUGGCGAGCAUUUCCAGGGUUGGACGGUAGAAGUGUCUUGGGUGUUGUUGAAGAUGGAACGGCUCUUGCACCUGGGCGCUCUGUUCAGUCUGCAUUCCGUUUGCUUCAACACACCCAAGACAUUUCAAUUCUAUCCUUUCCUUUGGUCCUUUUUUGUUGCAUGCGAUGUCAUCGCAGGUGGUUUCUUCCUCGCUGAAAUGGUGGUGAAAAUCACCGUUCCUAAUUUCCAAGAGGGGGAAGGCUUUUUUUAAAGAUCUUUUCGGUUGGUUCUUUUUCAUUAUUUUCCUACUUCCGGCGUUGGCGGAUUCAUGGAGAAUGGGUCCUAAUCAUAGAACGAGCGAUCUUUGAUUAUAUUCCGUCCGCCAUUUAUUUAUUUUCAUCUUUCCAUAUAUAGUUCUUUUGCCCCAUCCUUUGUUAGUUUUGAAAUGAAAUUUGUUUUCCACAAGACACUGAAGACCAUUUCAACUGUUUUGAUCUUGAAAUCUACCUCCAACUUUCAAACUUGUAAUCGACGAACAAACUUCUGAUUUCGAUCGAAUAUAUGUACUACGUUUGAUUUUUAUUUCCGGCGACGACGUCAGUUGGAGUUUUUCCUCCCUUUUCGUAUGUCCCUGUUUUUCUUCCAAUUUAUUUUUUAAUAAGAAGCUCUGUCACUGUUUAAUGUGAUCGUGGCCACCCAGUCAAAUGCCGCCCUUUGCAUACAAGCCACUUUAUUCAUUUGCAUGAAAAGGUUGGCCUAUCCCCAAGUUCUUGAUUUGAUAGAUUUGAUAGACACAAGUGUUUUAAUUGUCUGUUCAUGCCGAAAUGACUUUGUAAGUCUGCCACCUAAUUAGAGUUUAAGUGUUGACUGUCGGAGCGACGUCGCUAAACUCAGCAGUCUCACGCAUUUCCAGUAAAAGUGAUGCAUGUUUCGUCGUUGUCUACCACCAUUUCCUUGCUGACCAUCUUGUUAUGCAUUUGUUUUUCUCCUUUUGGGAGAUUUAAACAAGUUUGAAAGUCUGGGUUUAUGCUCCGAGUUUCUAGUCAUAACUAAUCUUGGAUCGAGGUGAUAGACUAAAUGUACGUCUCCGUGUCUCAUCGUCUGUUGCUUUGCAUUUUUCUCGCUCUGAUUCGUGGUAGAUUUGUGCGUAAACUUGGGGUUGGAGCGGGUGAUAUUAUUUCCGUGUCAACGGACCGAGGGCGAUACCGGUAAUCUGAAGCAAAGGGAUUUUUCAAAGAAGUGGUAGAUAGAAAUUUUGGAAGUUUAACGAUUGAAUUUUUGGAAUUUGUAAUGUGGAAAGACCAGAGAUGAUGUAAUUAGGAGACGACUUUGAAAAUGAUCUUUGCUUCUGCACUCGUAUUGAUUCCGCGUGAUUCGACACACCCCGCUAUACAAGGAUUCCAUCACCUACAAGGAACGCAAACUACUCAACAAUCGAUUACGUUGGAUCUUUUGUACCGGUUCUUGUUUAAUUUUUUAUUGUUGACUGCGCUGUCGAAAGGGUUCCCCCAUCUUCUCACCUUCGACUUUCAGAUUUGAACGAAGUCGUCCGCGAUCUUUGCUAAAGACCUCAAGAAAAUCCUUCCCAUCUCCACCUUCGUGUUGAGCGAAUUUCAACGAUCCUAAAAAUCGAGAUAAAUCAGUUCCAGUUUUCCUACCACCGAAUUGAAAGAAAGCGAUCCUGUAAGGAUGGAGUCUGCCCUGUCCAAGUCACAUUAUUUGAAUUUUCAUUUGUAAUCCCAAGGCUGGAUUAAACAUCAAAGAAGCCAUUCAACAUCACUGCUCCAGAUUCGCAAUGUUUGUCUUGAUUGAAGCACUCGCUUUUCUAAUUGCCAAUCGAUUUUUCUUGUCGUCGUCUGUGGUUUGACGGAACACGACUUUAUCAAAUUAUAUGAUGUUGUCUCGUGUGUUUUUGUCGUCUCUUCGUUUGGUUAAUUGUAAUGUUUUUCGCAGUUAGAGUCGAAAGCAUGAUCUAGGAUGGUGGAUAAGCGUUCUAUGAUGCACAUAAUUUCGAAUGACUGGAUUGUAAUUUUCCCAUUCGUUCGAAAUUGUGACCAUCAUAUUGCGGUUUUUCACUAUCAUCUACGAGCUCACCAUCUUGAAAAUGCUUAUCGGUUAGUCUACAAGAUCCUCAUCAUUAUGGGAAUGUUUCUGCUUAGUUUCGUUUACGUAUUGGCCAUUGUCCCUGCUUUUAACGGGUGAUGAGCGACACAAGCGCGAUCAUGUGUUGCCGCCAAACCGCCAACUUGAGUUUAAUUAGAACUGGAAAUAACCAACUGAUGUGCAACUAUAGAGCUGCCAUUCGACUGAUUUCCUUUGACGUAAUAUUCUGAAUCUUUAUCUCGUAUUUUAUAGUGGAAAAUUUCAAUGUUUCGUGUGGACGAAAUGUACUUCCGAUAUCCUAUAUUGAUGUAAGAAUGUCAAAACACUUGGACGCUCUGCCCAUUCGUCGUCCAAACUCUACGCUGUAAUUUCUCUUCAAACAUGCCAUCUUUUUGAAGCGGCUACACAACGGACAUGAUGCUAUCUUCAACGACAUUAUCCAAAUGCGGUCGUAACGUUCGGCGGACAACUGCCAGUGUUUUGAAACUGGAAGAGAUUGUGGCCCGCGAAAAAUGUGAAGUAGAAAGCUGUGUGAUGGAAGUCUAAACAUCAUCGUCAAGGUGAAGAGCAAAAGACAUGUGUUUUUUUAUUGUGGACCGUCAUGGACCAUGUGGAUCAGAUGACCAUUUCGGACCAUCGACAGAGAAGGGGUUUUGUCUGAUCAGAAUAAUGAUCCAUCCCAUCUGAUUGCUGCUGAGAUAGAAGCGGAAACGCUUUUGUCUACGCACCUUAUUUCAACAGACAGUCCAGCAAUGAUCGACAGCUAGCCAGUCAAUCCGAAAAAGUGAUGAAGGUUAAACUGUUUCCAUUUUUCCAAGCCACGUCUAUGACAGACAUUCAUUUUCUUACAAGUAUAAUAACCAUAAAGUAGUUGGCCCGUUUGUGUAUAAUGCUUCGGCCGUAGAUUUUUAUUUAAAUUUUUUUUUUUUUUUUUCUCUACCACACAUUUCACCUUAUAUGAUUUUAACUAAUGGAAAACAACGCAUUAACUUGUAUUAAGAGAUCCACCAAUCGCUGUUACUGUUUUUAUCAUUUCCAGAGUGCACUGGGUGGCAAGAAAUGGGCAGUGUGAGACUCCCUGUAACAUUGAGCUGCUAUAGAUAAGUUUGAUGUCCUGUAAUUGCAGUGCGUAUCGACAUUAAUUUACAGCAACUCAAGAUUACAUGGAACCCUAUUGCUGACAUCCCUUAUUGCUACCUAAUAUUCUCUGGUUUUGAUUUAACACAACUGCAGCGAUUUCCAAAUCCAACUGAAGAAUCUCUGGUUAAAUUCAAGUUAAUUUAGGUGUUGUUCUCCGUCAGCUCAAGAAGCGUCUAAUGUGAUUUUACACGUAUGCUUAUUUUGUGUACCAGUCUAAAAUCUAAAUGUCUAUGAUAACCACAAUAUAUACUUGAAUGUA